rnacentral:rRNA from 1 species
AUUGAACGCUGGCGGAACGCUUUACACAUGCAAGUCGAACGGUAACGCGGAGAGAAGCUUGCUUCUCUCCGGCGACGAGUGGCGAACGGGUGAGUAAUACAUCGGAACGUGUCCGCUCGUGGGGGACAACCAGCCGAAAGGUUGGCUAAUACCGCAUGAGUUCUACGGAAGAAAGAGGGGGACCCGCAAGGGCCUCUCGCGAGCGGAGCGGCCGAUGACUGAUUAGCCGGUUGGUGAGGUAACGGCUCACCAAAGCAACGAUCAGUAGCUGGUCUGAGAGGACGACCAGCCACACUGGGACUGAGACACGGCCCAGACUCCUACGGGAGGCAGCAGUGGGGAAUUUUGGACAAUGGGCGCAAGCCUGAUCCAGCUAUUCCGCGUGUGGGAUGAAGGCCCUCGGGUUGUAAACCAC